rnacentral:rRNA from 1 species
CCUACGGGAGGCAGCAGUGAGGAAUAUUGGUCAAUGGCCGGAAGGCUGAACCAGCCAUGCCGCGUGAAGGUCAGUGCCCUAUGGGCGUUAAACUUCUUUUGUGCGGGAGCAAUAAUGGUCACGUGUGGCCAGACGAGAGUACCGUACGAAUAAGCAUCGGCUAACUCCGUGCCAGCAGCCGCGGUAAUACGGGGGAUGCAAGCGUUAUCCGGAUUUAUUGGGUUUAAAGGGUGCGUAGGCUGUGAGGUAAGUCAGCGGUGAAAUGCCCCCGCUCGACGGGGUGAAGUGCCAUUGAUACUGGGGGGCUGGAGUGCGGAUGCGGUGGGAGGAAGGUGUGGGGGAGCGGGGAAAUGCAGAGAUGG